rnacentral:rRNA from 1 species
AUUGAACGCUGGCGGCAGGCCUAACACAUGCAAGUCGAACGAGUGGCGGACGGGUGAGUAAUGUCUGGGAAACUGCCUGAUGGUGGGGGAUAACUACUGGAAACGGUAGCUAAUACCGCAUACCAUCAGAUGUGCCCAGAUGGGAUUAGAUAGUUGGUGGGGUAAAGGCUCACCAAGGCGACGACCCCUAGCUGGUCUGAGAGGAUGACCAGCCAAACUGGAACGGAGACACGGUCCAGAUGCCUACGGGAGGCAGCAGUGGGGAAGAUUGCACAAUGGGCGCAAGCAUGAUGCAGCCAUGCGGCGUGUAUGAAGAAGGCCUUCGGGUUGUAAAGUACUUUCAGCGGGGAGGCGUUACCCGCAGAAGAAGCACCGGCUAACUCCGGGCCAGCAGCCGCGGUAAUAC